rnacentral:rRNA from 1 species
UACGUAGGGGGCAAGCGUUGUCCGGAAUCAUUGGGCGUAAAGAGCGUGUAGGCGGUUAGGUAGGUCCGUUGUGAAAACUCGAGGCUCAACCUCGAGACGCCGAUGGAAACCAUCUAACUAGAGUCCGGAAGAGGAGAGUGGAAUUCCUGGUGUAGCGGUGAAAUGCGCAGAUAUCAGGAAGAACACCCGUGGCUAAGGCGGCUCUCUAGUACGGUACUGACGCUGAGACGCGAAAGCGUGGGGAGCGAACAGG